rnacentral:sRNA from 1 species
UCCUGGUCCUUUCUCAGGAAUUCCAAAGGAACGGCCUCCUCUGGUCUUUGCUUUCAUACCCACUUAGAACACAUUCCAGGGUUUGACAGGAGAGCAAAAUAGCAGAGAGAACCCUUGGGUCUGAGAAGCUGGCAGGGAAGAACAGAAGAGUCACCCCUCUUGAUGGCGGAUAACUAUUGAUGAACUUGAGCGGCUAUUGAAGCAUUGAUAACGGCUCACGGCAAAGUCAUAUGAUAUCCAUCGCAGAAGUCAUAGGCAAGAGCACCAAUGACUGUCAGAGCAGGGAGGAAAAGGGGGGCGAUGGUGUAAAGAACAUGGUGCUCACUCACGGCUGCGCAUAGUGGGUUUACGUCAGGACCUAAACCCGUGGUCUAGUGCCUUCCCACUUUCAGGGUGGUUCUUCUUCCUCAGUCAAGAUUCUCUGAGAACUCCUGCAAAGACGUGCCCAACACUGUGCCUCCUACGUGGUUCUAAAGCUGAUCAGCUGACUGUGAAGAUGAACCAUCACCACCCACACUGAGUGGACUUCAAUGGCUGAGGCCCAACCCACGCUCUACGUGACCUUGAGAGGAAAGGACUAGACCAUGAUGUGCCUCCCUACACCAGCAUCUGCCUCCUGGGGUUACUGUGUCCCCUGACGGGGUCUGGAGAUGACACUGUGUGACCGACUUAAACCGUUUGAGUUUGCACGAGCACUGUCUCUGGGAGGAAGAACUUACAAUGGUGGAAACAUGCACCUAGCAUGUGUGUCUCAGACCAUUAUGUGAUGGGUGCCGGCAGCAAGUGUAAGAAUCAUCCGUCUCCUAAGGACAAGGAAGAGAAGACGCAUCACUGGAGCAUGGGAGCUUGGGUGUGGGAGCACACAGAACCCAGUUCUAGACUAUGGACACUGGGCUGGUGCUGCUGUCCCUGAAGGGCUGGCUCCCUGUAGGCUGAACAUAGGGCGUUUGAGGAGAACAACCUGGGAUGAGGAUCUCUCUCUCUCUCUCUCUCUCUCUCUCUCUCUCUCUCUCUCUCUCUCUCUCAUGCACGCACAUACACACCCCCCAUAUAUGUUCACACACUUGCAUGCUUACAUACACAC